AUUGAACGCUGGCGGCAUGCCUUACACAUGCAAGUCGAACGGCAGCGCGGGGCAACCUGGCGGCGAGUGGCGAACGGGUGAGUAAUAUAUCGGAACGUGCCCUGGAGUGGGGAUAACGCAGCGAAAGUUACGCUAAUACCGCAUACGAUCCAAGGAUGAAAGCAGGGGACCUUCGGGCCUUGUGCUCCUGGAGCGGCCGAUAUCUGAUUAGCUAGUUGGUGGGGUAAAAGCCUACCAAGGCGACGAUCAGUAGCUGGUCUGAGAGGACGACCAGCCACACUGGAACUGAGACACGGUCCAGACUCCUACGGGAGGCAGCAGUGGGGAAUUUUGGACAAUGGGGGGCAACCCUGAUCCAGCAAUGCCGCGUGUGUGAAGAAGGCCUUCGG
rnacentral:rRNA from 1 species